rnacentral:tRNA from 1 species
GCCGAAGUGGUGGAAUUGGUAGACACGCUAUCUUGAGGGGGGUAGUGACCUUACGGUCGUGCGGGUUCAAGUCCCGCCUUCGGCA